rnacentral:rRNA from 1 species
AUUGAACGCUGGCGGCAGGCCUAAAACAUGCAAGUCGAGCGGUAGAGAGAAGCUUGCUUCUCUUGAGAGCGGCGGACGGGUGAGUAAUGCCUAGGAAUCUGCCUGGUAGUGGGGGAUAACGUUCGGAAACGGACGCUAAUACCGCAUACGUCCUACGGGAGAAAGCAGGGGACCUUCGGGCCUUGCGCUAUCAGAUGAGCCUAGGUCGGAUUAGCUAGUUGGUGGGGUAAUGGCUCACCAAGGCGACGAUCCGUAACUGGUCUGAGAGGAUGAUCAGUCACACUGGAACUGAGACACGGUCCAGACUCCUACGGGAGGCAGCAGUGGGGAAUAUUGGACAAUGGGCGAAAGCCUGAUCCAGCCAUGCCGCGUGUGUGAAGAAGGUCCUCGGAUUGUAAAGCACUUUAAGUUGGGAGGAAGGGCAGUAAAUUAAUACUUUGCUGUUUUGACGUUACCGACAGAAUAAGCACCGGCUAACUCUGUGCCAGCCGCCGCCGUAA